CCGACCAGAUUGUACUAGUGGACUGAAUCACAAUAGUUUCUCACAACUCAUGAUGUCGUAAGGGAAAAUAAUGAUAAUACCUUACUAAUAGUGUCGUCCAAAUCUGGUGCCAGAAGACUCGGUAAGACCAGAGACGCAAACGUUAAUCAUCAUAAACAGGCGUAAAGGGUUUGUAGGCGGUUUCCAUAAGACUAUGAAUAAACAAAUAAAGUAGUCUAAUUGGAAGCUAGAAUCAAAAAGAGGUUAUAGUGUAUAACGCUUAGAGGAGGGCUGAUAUCUUUAGAUCCUAAGCAGAAUACUAAGGGCGAAGGCCACUUUCCAUUAAUGAUUGACGCUGAGAAACGAAGGUUAGGGUAAGAAAUAGGAUUAGAUACCCCGGUACUCCUUUCUGUAAACGAUGAAUGGUAGUCAUUAGUUUAAGUUAAACUAGAGGCGAAGUUAACACGAUAACCAUUCCGCCUUGUGAGUACUACUGCAAAGUAGAAAACAAAAAAAUUAGUCGGUCUCGAAGCAAACGGAGUGAAGCAUGUUAUUUAUG
rnacentral:rRNA from 1 species